rnacentral:rRNA from 1 species
CCUACGGGAGGCAGCAGUGGGGAAUAUUGGACAAUGGGGGCAACCCUGAUCCAGCAAUGCCGCGUGUGUGAAGAAGGCCUUCGGGUUGUAAAGCACUUUCGAUGGGGAAAAACAAGCCAGACCUAACACGUCUGGCCCUGAUGGUACCCAGAGAAGAAGCACCGGCUAACUCUGUGCCAGCAGCCGCGGUAAUACAGAGGGUGCAAGCGUUAAUCGGAAUUACUGGGCGUAAAGGGUGCGUAGGUGGUUUGUUAAGUCAGGCGUGAAAUCCCUGGGCUCAACCUGGGAACUGCGUUUGAUACUGGCAGACUCGAGUCUGGUAGAGGGUAGUGGAAUUCCGCAUGUAGCGGUGAAAUGCGUAGAUAUGCGGAGGAACAUCAGUGGCGAAGGCGGCUACCUGGACCAAGACUGACACUGAGGCACGAAAGCGUGGGGAUCAAACAGGAUUAGAUACCCUGGUAGUCCACGCCCUAAACGAUGGGUACUAGACGUUGGGAGGUUUAUCCUCUUGGUGUCGCAGCUAACGCAAUAAGUACCCCGCCUGGGGAGUACGGUCGCAAGAUUAAAACUCAAAGGAAUUGACGG